UACGUAGGGUGCGAGCGUUAAUCGGAAUUACUGGGCGUAAAGGGUGCGCAGGCGGAUAAAUAAGUUAGAUGUGAAAUACCCGGGCUCAACCUGGGAGGUGCAUUUAAGACUGUUUAUCUAGAGUUUGUCAGAGGGGGGUAGAAUUCCAAGUGUAGCAGUGAAAUGCGUAGAGAUUUGGAGGAAUACCGGUGGCGAAGGCGGCCCCCUGGGAUAGAACUGACGCUCAUGCACGAAAGCGUGGGUAGCAAACAGG
rnacentral:rRNA from 1 species